AACUUUAUAUUCAUUAAAUGAUAUUAAAUUGCAAAUUUAAAGGAACAAUUAUAAUUGUUAAAGUUU
rnacentral:tRNA from 1 species